AUCUCGUUUCUCAGAGAGGCAAAGGCGACGUAGCUCAUCAUCUUGCUCUCUCUCGUCACGCAUGCCAUCUUCCUCCGUAAGUGGCAGAUCCAUGGCUUUGAUUCAAGUGAUUUUUCCUUAGUUCUGUUUCUCAGCUAUAUCGUUUGUUGUGUAAUUUGUUCAUUCUCAUGAAGUUUGGUUUUCGAAGAGGGGAUUCGGGUAUAUGAUGAGAAAUCAGGCUCGUCUGCACUCUUGUUAGGUGGGAGAUCGAUGAAAGAAUCGAGCAGUAUUCAGAUCAGUGUUUUUAGUGUGGGAAACAAACAUGUGGAUGACACUGAUCUUCAUGAUGCUGUUUUUGAGCUAUACAAGAGAGAGUGAAUAAGGAGCCGGAGCGGGAGACGCUCGUGGUUGAAAACGACGCCAACCUACCGGAUUUCUAUGAGUGUUGUUUGGGUAAUUAUAGGUAGCCACCGGAGUAGCAAGGUGCUGCUGGUGGGGAAGAGCUGGUGUUUGGCUAUUUCGUACCUACCGAUCAGGGUGGCGGGUAAGAGUAGUUCAUCCUACUCUCGGAGGUCGUGCUUUUGGGGUGGAGCCUGAGAGCAUGUGGCUCCACUCUGUUUUGUUGUAUAGGUUUAUAUUUCCGCUACGUAGAUGUUGUUACCUUUUGAUGUAAAUUGUUAGAAAUGGUUGCUUGUUAAAGGCUUGUAAUAUAAA